CAGUAAAUUGCCGCGUUCCGCUUAGGCAGCCCAUUGGGACUCGCUUGUGGGCGUGCACAUGGCAGCAAGUUCGAGGGUGCGUCAAGAAAUCAGCAUAGCAAGUUUGUAAGAAGGUCUGGUUAUUAAAUGUGUAAAUAGUUCAAUAGUAAUACGCUCUGGUGACAAACUUUGCUGCCCUGUUUCCAAUUGUUUACAUGGCUGGGAGAACCUAUUCAAGUAGCUAGCACACACGUCUUUGUCCCAUGGAGGAGGCUGAAAGGAUAGCAGCCCCAACUGUCAAAAUACCUUGUAGCUGUAGAUUAUUUCAAACCGAUUGCCUACAGUUACUGUGUAGGGCACUGCAAGGUUGGUUGACAAGGGCCAUCUGGGACUGCCUCCUGGAGGAAUUCAGGUGUGUGAAGGCUACCUGUGUCCUGCAUAACUUCAUGAGGAUGGACACGAGGACCAGGGGGGGGGAUCUGCAGCUCGCUGCCGCAUGCAAAGAGGAGAAGUCUGGUGCUCUGCAGGAUGUUUCAAGGAUAGACUACACUAUGCACAACCAAAGGCUCUUUUAAGAGCCAUCCACAUUGCAAUAUGAGUAUUCUUCAAUUUACUUAGCUAUGUCAACUGCUGUUAUUCAAUUCCUUGUUUCUCUCCCUUUGAUUUCUACUUCUCAUCUGAGGGUACUGUUUAGGUAAGGGUGUGACGUCGGUACAAAAACAAAACGGGCUAUUAUGCUUUUACACCUGCAUUGUUUGCUGUUUGGGGUUUUAGGCUGGGUUUCUGUACAGCACUUUGAGAUAUCAGCUGAUGUACGAAGGGCUAUAUAAAUAAAUUUGAUUUGAUUUGAUAUUAUAAGUCACCCACAUUGAACAAAUUUAGAACAAUUGUGUUGUGCUGUAUGCAGGCUCUGGUGUAUAUAACUGUGGCUCCUUCAAAGAACAGGCAAGAGGGCCAACCAUGGAGAAUAGUAAGACACUUCAUUAUUUCUAUAACUACGCUAAAUUGUUUGUCCUCGUGUCCGUUCAUGUUUUUCAGCCUAAAGUACUCUGCUGCCACUUAGUGUGGACACCAGGUUAUAUCAGCUGUGUCGGUGAACCCCUCCCGCAUCUGAACUGGCUACAUAGAGGGCACAGUAUGAUCGGAGAUAUGUUUUGCUGUGAAAGAGGAUUCCAACCCCCAGUCCCGUCAUUGCCACUUCACCCGCUCUUAAGAUAACCUUCGGGCUGACUGGGAGUCCAAGGCUGGUUAGGAGACACCACUAGAGACACUUAUGUCAUUUUGAUGAAAUGAAAGAAUAUUAGGGUAGCACUGUGAUUCAUUAAUCAUAUGCUGCCUUCCCUGCUCCAAUGUCCUUACCUCUUUCCCUUUGUCUUUAACACCUCUCUCGCCACGUUUCUUCCUCUGUUUUCAUAAUGCACAACAUAUGUGCAUUGAAGUACAGAUUGAACUUGUAUUUAUAACACUUGGAAAAUUAAGCAUUUCACAUUCUCUACUGGUUGAAAUUAAGUCUCUCAUUUGAUGAAAUACUACACCUGUCCUGUGUUUAUCAGAUCAAUGCAGAUGAAGGGCAUUAGAUAUUGAGAUGAACCGGUUUGAGUAUUUACAUGAUGCAUAGGAAGUGUAGUGUACUGUUUUUUUUUUUUUUUUACUUCUGUAUAUAUGAAUUAUAAAUCAGCCUUUAACUAGUUAAAUCAUGUUUCUAGUCUAUUGCAUAGUUACAAUGUGUAAGUAACCAUUGAUGUCCCAGGACCAAGAUUGGUAAACACUGUUGAAGUGUAUAAUUGUAAUACAUGCAGGCACAGCAUCAUUCAAAGAUUUGAAUUUGAUACACCUGGAAUUGGAAAUGAAUGGAAAAUUCUCAGACAUUCAUACCUGAAUUGCACCAUUAUUUGCCAAGGUUUUGAGUACAUGAUCAGUGAAUAUACAGUGUUAAAUGUACAGGCUACAAUGUGGGGAUCUCAUGCAUGGUAAUGACUACAUGUAUAUACGACUUGCAUCCGUGGCAGAAAGUUAUAUCUAAUCAAAUUUUGCGGUUGAGAGAGGUGCAGUUGCCAUACCAGACAGUGAGUGAUACAGCCUCACAGGAUGCUCUCGAUUGUGCAUCUGUAAAAGUUUGAGUGUUUUAGGUGACAAGCCAAAUUUCCUCAGCUGUAGUCAAUGAACAGCAUUCUUACAAAGGUAUUCCUCUUGUCCAGAUGGGAUAGGGCAGUGUGCAGAGAGAUGGCGAUUGCAUUGUCAGUGGACCUUAUUGGGCAGUAAGCAAAUUGGAGUGGGUCUAGGGUAUCAGGUAGGGUGGAGGUGAUAUGAUCCUUGACUAGUCUCUCAACGCACUUCAUGAUGACAGAUGUGAGUGCAAUGGGGUGAUAGUCAUUUAGUUCAGUUACCUUAGCUUUCUUGGGAACAGGAACAAUGGUGGCCAUUUUGAAGCAUGUGGGGACAGCAAACUGGGAUAGGGAUUGAUUGAAUAUGUCCGUAAACACACCAGCCAGCUGGUCUGUAUGCUCUGAGGACGCGGCUAGCGAUGCUGUCUGGGCCAGCAGCCUUGCAAGGGUUAACAUGUUUAAAUGUUUUACUCACGCUGGUCACGGAGAGGGAGAGCCAACAGCGGGCCGUGUCAAUAGCACUGUAUUGUCCUCAAUGGAGCAAAGAAUUUGUUUAAUUUAUCUGGGAGCAAGACGUCGAUGUCCGUGACGGGGCUGGUUUUCUUUUUGUCAUCUGUGAUUGACUGAACCCUGCCACAUACAUCUCGUGUUUGAGCCGUUGAAUUGCGACUUUACUUUGUCUCUAUACUAGAGGUCGACCGAUUAAUCGGAAUGGCCGAUUAAUUAGGGCUGAUUUCAAGUUUUCAUAACAUUCGAAAAUCGGUAUUUUUGGGCACCGAUUUGCCGAUUUAAAAAAAAAAGAAAAAAAAAAAAGAAAAGAAAAGUUAUUAUUAUUUUAUUUUUUAUACCUUUAUUUAACUAGGCAAGUCAGUUAAGAACACAGUUAACUGCCUUGUUCAGGGGCAGAACGACAGAUUUUCACCUUGUUAGCUCAGGGGAUCUAAUUUUGCAACCUUACAGUUAACUAGUCCAACGCAAUAACGACCUGCCUCCUUCUCGUUGCACUCCACAAGGAGACUGCCUGUUACACGAAUGCAGUAAGCCAAGGUAAGUUGCUAGCUAGCAUUAAACUUAUCUUAUAAAAAUCAAUCAAUCAUAAUCACUAGUUAACUACACAUGGUUGAUGAUAUUACUAGAUAUUAUCUAGCGUGUCCUGCGUUGCAUAUAAUCUGACUGAGCAUACAAGUAUCUAAGUAUCUGACUGAGCGGUGGUAGGCAGAAGCAGGCGCGUAAACAUUGAUUCAAACAGCACUUUUGUGGUGCUUCAAGUAUUGCGCUGAGAUGAGGCUGGUGUAACCAAAGUGAAAUGGCUAGCUAGUUAGCGCGUGCUAAUAGCGUUUCAAACGCCACUUGCCUUCUAGUAGUUGUUCCCCUUGCUCUGCAUGGAUAACGCUGCUUCGAUGGUGGCUGUUGUCGUUGUGUUGCUGGUUCGAGCCCAGGGAGGAGCUAGGAGAGGGACGGAAGCUAUACUGUUACACUGGCAAUACUAAAGUGCCUAUAAGAACAUCCAAUAGUCAAAGGUUAAUGAAAUACAAAUGGUAUAGAGGGAAAUAGUCCUAUAAUUCCUAUAAUAACUACAACCUAAAACUUCUUACCUGGGAAUAUUGAAGACUCAUGUUAAAAGGAACCACCAGCUUUCAUAUGUUCUCAUGUUCUGAGCAAGUAACUGAAACGUUAGCUUUCUUACAUAGCACAUAUUGCACUUUUACUUUCUUCUCCAACACUUUGUUUUUGCAUUAUUUAAACCAAAUUGAACAUGUUUCAUUAUUUACUUGAGGCCAAAUUGAUUUUAUUGAUGUAUUAUAUUCAGUUAAAAUAAGUGUUCAUUCAGCAUUGUUGUAAUUGUCAUUAUUACAAAUAAAUAAAUAAAAAUCGUCCGAUUAAUCAGUAUCGGCUUUUUUGGUCCUCCAAUUAUCGGUCGACCUCUACUCUA